GUGGCGCCGGGUGCGUAACGCGUGGGAAUCUGCCCCUUGGUUCGGAAUAACCGUUGGAAACGACGGCUAAUACCGGAUGACGACGUAAGUCCAAAGAUUUAUCGCCGAGGGAUGAGCCCGCGUAGGAUUAGCUAGUUGGUGUGGUAAAGGCGCACCAAGGCGACGAUCCUUAGCUGGUCUGAGAGGAUGAUCAGCCACACUGGGACUGAGACACGGCCCAGACUCCUACGGGAGGCAGCAGUGGGGAAUAUUGGACAAUGGGCGCAAGCCUGAUCCAGCAAUGCCGCGUGAGUGAUGAAGGCCUUAGGGUUGUAAAGCUCUUUUACCCGGGAUGAUAAUGACAGUACCGGGAGAAUAAGCUCCGGCUAACUCCGUGCCAGCAGCCGCGGUAAUACGGAGGGAGCUAGCGUUGUUCGGAAUUACUGGGCGUAAAGCGCACGUAGGCGGCUUUGUAAGUUAGAGGUGAAAGCCUGGAGCUCAACUCCAGAAUUGCCUUUAAGACUGCAUCGCUUGAAUCCAGGAGAGGUGAGUGGAAUUCCGAGUGUAGAGGUGAAAUUCGUAGAUAUUCGGAAGAACACCAGUGGCGAAGGCGGCUCACUGGACUGGUAUUGACGCUGAGGUGCGAAAGCGUGGGGAGCAACAGGAUUAGAUACCCUGGUAGUCCACGCCGUAAACGAUGAUAACUAGCUGUCCGGGGAACUUGGUCUUUGGGGGGGGCAGCU
rnacentral:rRNA from 1 species